GUUCGUCAUGGGACUACCUUCUUUCUUUGCGGAACGAGUAAUCAACAAAUUAAAAGAUUACGCAGGCGGUAAACAAUUCGACUGGAAUUCUAUAACAUACGGUCAACUAUUUGCGUUCAUCAAAAAAGAAGGAUUAACAAUUUGCCAAGAGCAAAAAGAUAAAAAAAGAGAAAGAAAUGAAAAAUUCAAAAUUAAACAAAAUAUGGGAGAAUUCUGUAACCAAUAUGGUUACGAAAAACUAAAUCCACCGUCUAGACAAAAACAUAAACGUAAUAAAACUCAUAAAUAUUUUUCAAAAAGAAAACAUUAUCACAA
rnacentral:lncRNA from 1 species